AACCACUGAUUACACUUCCUUG
rnacentral:miRNA from 1 species